rnacentral:lncRNA from 1 species
UGCAAUGGGACGUAUUUUAUUGAUGAGGAUACAGGUUGGCACAUGCAAUGCCCCCCAGAGCUUCAAGCCGGCCUGCCUCUGGCACCUGAGGAAGUGGGUUCCCACCCCCAGAGGUGGCUGCCUCUGCGUUGCACUCCUCUGUUCUCCGGUGGCGACUGUGACAGAGAGCUCUGGGCCACCCUCCACACAGGGCGCUGCACUACACACUCUUCCCUUUAAUAGUGACCUCAUCCUCAGCAACUUACCUGCAGGAUCUGAGAACUCUGGGAGCUCCAGUACCUGCUGUGGCAGAAUGGGAGGCUCAGGCACCUUUCCAGACUUAAGCAUAUCUAGCUCCGCCUGCAAUUCCCGCACUUUCUUUUUCAGUCGGAUGCAGUUAGGGCAAAAGGAGGUGGUGGGCAGCUCGUGGGGGUCAGAUGCCAGAGAGGCCUCAGCGGGGCUGUCGGCCUUGAACGACGUAUGCUCCUCCUCUUCAUCUUCCAGUGGGCCUAGCUCCUUGGCCACCUUUUGAGGGACCUUCCAGUCCCCUUCCCCUGGGGUCCUGCAGAUGCCUUGUGUCAGGGCAGCUCUACCAUAGUCAUCGUCCUGGUACUUGGGGACUUUCCGGAUGACCAGGGAGGUGCUCAGGGCCAGCUGGCGGCCUUCCGCGUUAGCAGACUCCAGUGAGGCUUCCAGGACGUCCUUGAAGAUGAGGUCUAUUUUCUUCUUCUUGGCCUGAGGGUGGAGGUCCCCCUCAUCAAAGCUGCGCUUGUAAGGACUUCUGCC